GGAGCGGGAGGAGGCUGCGCUCGAGCGCUGCCACCGCGAUCCCUCCCGGCUCUUUCGGGCUCACGCUGCCUCCCAUCGGCGGCGGGCACCGAGCAUCCUCGGCCCAUGCGGCUGGCAUCCCAAACCUGCUUUGGCGGAGUGGCCCCCCACAGUGUGCGCGAAGGUGGGGCAGUGAGGGAGCGCGUCCCGCUCGAGGUAGCGACGGUUAGAGUGCCCGCGUAGACCCGGCAGCCUCAAGGCUGCUCCUCCUGGCCCUGCUGUUUGUAGGGAGAGGACUUGAGGUAGGGGAGGGUUCGGGAAAGGCCUUUCUGAGAACCUGCAACUCCAGAAGAGACUUGCUCACGGCAGGGCGGGAAGCUGCACCACCCGGAAUUUGAAGGAUGCUCAAGGUCACUCUGCAUUUGGGUUUGCACCCUUGGUGAUGCAAGGACAUAGGGUGGCCUCUAACACACAGAAACUCCAAUGAACCUGAAAACAAGAUGGCACUGGGAAAUGGCCCAUCUUAGACUUGGGCGUUUACAUAGGUUCGCCACCAUUCAGAAUGAGACCUUUGUUCUGCUGAUCGUGACAGCACUACCUGAUGCUGAUCCUGGAGUCACCUGAAAACGGCAACCUACUGAGAGAAACUCAAGUGUUUGCAGUCUUGACGCAGUCUAUUCCGUGCCCUUACACGGACACAGGAAUGUGGUCUUUUUCAUCCCAACAUGUUCUCUCCAGCCACACUUUCGUGCUCACUUGGAAUACUCUUUAAAAUUUUUAGCCUUU
rnacentral:lncRNA from 1 species